CGAACGCUGGCGGCGUGCUUAACACAUGCAAGUCGAGCGGUAAGGCUCCUUCGGGAGUACACGAGCGGCGAACGGGUGAGUAACACGUGAGUAAUCUGCCCUUCACUUCGGGAUAACCACCGGAAACGGUGGCUAAUACCGAAUACGACCAGUCUUCGCAUGAGGUGCUGGUGGAAAGUCUUUUCGGUGAAGGAUGUGCUCGCGGCCUAUCAGCUUGUUGGUGGGGUAAUGGCCUACCAAGGCUUCGACGGGUAGCCGGCCUGAGAGGGUGACCGGCCACACUGGGACUGAGACACGGCCCAGACUCCUACGGGAGGCAGCAGUGGGGAAUAUUGGACAAUGGGCGAAAGCCUGAUCCAGCAACGCCGCGUGAGGGAUGACGGCCGUCGGGUUGUAAACCUCUUUCAGUACCGACGAAGCGCCCUGUCGGGUGGUGACGGUAGGUACAGAAGAAGGACCGGCCAACUACGUG
rnacentral:rRNA from 1 species